rnacentral:rRNA from 1 species
UACGUAGGGGGCUAGCGUUGUCCGGAAUCAUUGGGCGUAAAGCGCGUGUAGGCGGUCCGGUAAGUCCGCUGUGAAAGUCGGGGGCUCAACCCUCGGAUGCCGGUGGAUACUGUCGGGCUUGAGUACGGAAGAGGCGAGUGGAAUUCCUGGUGUAGCGGUGAAAUGCGCAGAUAUCAGGAGGAACACCAGCGGCGAAGGCGGCACUCUGGGCUGGAACUGACGCUGAGGAGCGAAAGCGUGGGUAGCAAACAGG